CAAAAAGACAAAAAAAAAAAAAAGGAGUACUAAGAUUGAAGUUGGCAUAAAAUAGCAUUCAAUAACAAGUCCUGAUCUUUCAGUGUUUACCUUCUAAGGAAGAGAGAAAAAAAUGGAAAGGUUUGUUUAAUUUUCUUACUACAAAGAAAACAAGAAAGGAAAGGGGAAAGACCUUGAGGAUUAGAGAUCACAUUCAGAAAAAGAAGAGAUAUAUAAUCCUGCAACAGCUUCAGCACCCAGUGUUAUUCAUCUCCUGGCAAUAGAGUUUGCUCUCUUUAAAUUAUUUUUUCCCCUAAAUUCUUAAAGAUCUAAACUUAUAAGAUGAAGACAGACUUCUGCCUAAUUUCUACUUAAAUAACCUGUGUUUGAAAAAUCAGCUCAUCAUCACUUAUCCAAAUAUACUAAGUUGCAGGCUCUAUAUUAGCAAAAGGCUAUUUAUAUUUAAAAUUGGCAAAUUAUUUUAAAAUCCAUGUAACUUCCACUUCCACUGCCUUCUGCAGUGAGGUCAUCCUUACAUUGUGUUUCCAGAAGCCUCAUCAUGAUACCUGGGAGAAAUUUGGGAGACUUAGGUGUUUUGUGAUUAUUUUAUAAUUGUCAUUAUGAGAUAAAACAUGUGCUAUGACAAAGUGACAUAUCACAAUUUAAAACAAGUUGUAGUGUGAUUAAAAAAAUGUUGUCUGGGUCUAGAAUUUUUAUACCUUUUCAAUGACUAGGACAAAAUUCCCCAUUUAAGCAAGGUAAUUGUAGGAAUACAGGAUGUUUAAAUUGUCUGGGGAUAGAAAUAUAACUGAACAAUGUUUGGUUUUGUAGCCGUGCAUGGAUGUUUGCAUGCAAACAUAAACUGACUCUUUAUGGUGUGAUAGUCUAGAAACAUAAAUGCAUAGUCUGCUUUACGAGUACUCUUUGCUUUACUGUGUAAAGAGGCUCUGCAUUUUGCGUUUGUCUGGUAGUAGACUGUACUGGAGGGCUUAUGAUUCUAAAAUGACUUGAGCACCCUCUGACACCCUGCUCCUUGUUAUGAAUUGCCCUUCAUGCUGGGAAUUUUAUACCAUAGGGGACAGAAGUGAGGAGUUAAUGCCCUCUUUCUCUGAGUGGAGGAACGCAGUUUGAAGCUGUGUAUUAUCAGUUGUUUUCAAUGCGGGGUUUGUUUCUUUUUUAAGCAGCAGAGCACAGCAGAAAGGGCACCCUUGCAGAGGGAAACUAGUCUCAUUUGCUUUUACCUAUGCGGCCUUCAGUGAGGGACCUCAGCUCUAACUCAGGGAUCAUAAUAUCACAACUUCGUGGGGUAAAUGAGAGCAAAUGGGAAGAAAAUGUACCUGAAAAAGAUUUGUGUAAAAUGUUCUGCAAAUGAAAGAGCUAUUACUAGCUUCACCAUCACCACCACCAUCAUCAUUAUUGCUAAUAGGAGCCAGAAGGGAUUCUACUUGUCUAAUUACCUAGCGGGGCUCAAAUCAUCUCCACAAAGUUCUGCUUAAGCAACAAGGAACACAUUAAAUCCCAAGGCGGUUCAUUCCCAACAUUUGUAUGUGCUAGGGGAUGUGAGCUAAGACGCGUUUAUCAGGAAACCACAAACAGGAAGAAAUGAUGUUGCAGCUGUAGCUCCGUGCUCCUUGAGAUGGCAACGUGGUUAGGAUUUGAAACAUCAUCAGAGGGGCUUCAGGCAGAUGUGGGGAGGGAAGAGGCCUGAUGAGCAGGCCUUUGAAGAGCAGAAGGUAGCAGGAGGUAGGGUCAGAACUUCUCCAGUCUGGGCCCAGCUGCUUGGACUAAGCCUCUGCUAGCCUGGCCUGGAGCAGGCCCUGGGCCACGGGAAGUCUUGGGAGCAGGGACUGUCCUUGCCUGUUCUCUUCUCACCUCUCCCUGACUUUCUGCCAGUUCUGUAAAAUCUAUUCUGUUACGCUCAUUGUCAGGGGUUGAGUGAGGGCUUCCUGGGCCCAGAGGGCGUCUGCAAUGACAUCUUUUCUGUUGCUGCCCAAUGCGCAGAGCGCGCUAGGACAGGAGGAAGGGCUUUUGUUUCCUAAUGAAGCAUAACAGGCUUAAAACACAAAGAGAGGGUGGUAACCGAUGUGGCUGAGCCCAGCCCCUGUCACCCAGAGGCACCAGGAUGUGGAAGGGGGCGGAGGGUGGCAGGAGACCCUUCCCCCUGUUUCUCGACUGUGCCUCAGAAGGCACAGGGCAAACUGUGCAGACACCACCUGCUGUGUCUCUGGAAACACAGGCAGCUCUGUGUCUGGUAAUUGAGGAAGCUGCUGUCUAAUGUGGCCGACUUCGCAUCAAGGAGUCCUGUCCUGGGGCAGAGUGGCUGGUGGGGGUGUUAGUGGAUAGUCUGCUGGAAUGCGAGCAGCAUCUCAUGUGAAGUAGGCGUAUGUGGUCCUGGCGGGGUCAUCACCGGAGCGCUGGGUCAUCUGGGGAUGGCCUGAUGAUCUCUCAUUCCAGCAGAGGCCACAGGUCUGGGUGGUGACUUCCCUUCUGUGCUCUAAAGGGUUGGAAGGAUGCUCCCCAGCUCUGGGCUCUGUUCAGGUUCAGUUGAACCGCCCCCAUCUGUGUCAGAUGCAGCCAGCUUUAUCAACACGUAGAUAAGCCCAGACAUGAUAAUGAGCAAUUUGUUGAAUGUAUAUUGAAUUUUGGUCAAUGGAACAGCCUGUUAAGGACUUUUACAUGUUACAUCAAAGCCGAGGCCGCCGUCUUUAGCGAGGAAAGUGUGAGGGCUUUGUUCUCUCCUAGGCUGUGUCUCUUGUUCUCAGAGGAAGGUAGUCGCUGUUCAGAGGAAGGACUGUUUAUCCCUGCCGUCCUUCAGGUGGCCUCCAGCUGGGGCGAUCAGCUCUCCCGACAGCAUUUUAGUCCAGGUGAAAUGUGUAUUUCAAACUAUCUGUGAUGGCUUCCGUGGAGGUCCGUAAGAAGCAGUCUGGAAAAAGCGUCUGGGACCCCUGGUGGAAUGCAUUUGAAGGAUUUUCUAAUUACUUACUAUUGUUACAAUGGACCACAUCAGCUCUUCACUUAGCCAUUGAUUUUUCUCUCUUUAAAUGAUGUAUGAAGCCCCGGAGGAUAUUAUGCUGAACUAAACUCAAGUCCAAGGUGAGAGGCUUGGAAAAAUUCUUGACUUGGUCAGGAGCUGGGACCCUGGAAAGGAAACAGAACCUGCUGCCGUGGUGCCUCGUCCCUUGGACCCAUCAUAAAUAAUCUCUGCUGGGCCCUCUGCCUGGUUGUUAAUAAAGUUUUAUCGGGGUAUAGCCACAGCCAUUGCAUUGCUGCUUUCACCCUGAAACAGCAGACGGGGGCAGAAACCAGACAGCCUGCGAAGCCUAAAAUGGUGGCUCUCUGGCCCUUGGCAGAGUUGUCUGGUCUGUGGUCUCUGUGGUUUAACAAAUCAGUGAGGAACUUGUGUCGAGGACCUGCUACAUGCCAGUGGGCCCCUGUUUGUGCAUGUCAUAAGCACAUGAUGGAUUGGAAAGGUGACAAAGGAUGGAGCCUGGUCACUAUUCUCCAGGGAUUAUAAUCUGGUGGAGGAGACAAGGAUUGGCAUGUGUGAAAAAACAGUGACAGUAAAAGAUAACCUAGGGUCAAGGGUUAAAUGGUGAUGGAUAGACAAGCACUGGGGUUUGGAGAAAGGAAGUGAGGGUCAUGAGAGCUCCAGCAGUGGGAGAGGGUGAUGUUUAACGUAAUAAAGUCCCAGAACACAGGCAGCCCCGGGACGCUCCCUUGGGACCCAUGGUAAUUGGAUCUGACCUGUAUUUCUACUCAUGUCAUUUAAGUCACUGAUAUUUUUGGCCUAGUGCUUGGGGGUACCUUAAUGACCAGAAGUACUUCUGAGUAACUUUAGCUGACUGAGUCUUCUGAAAUUUAGGAUUCUUUCAAUCUCCUUAAACUGCAGCGAAUAUAAUCUCGUCUCAGUAGCACGAGGCCCUUCUCUUUUGGAGACAGUACAGUGCAAUGAGCUUGGAGUCAGAGGCCAGGUCUGAAUCUCCUUGCCAUGGAAACUGGGGGCUCUGUGACACCCUGGGCCUCAGUUUCUCCAUCUACACAGUGGGGACAAUAACAGUGUCUGCCUCUUUGGGUGGCCGUGAGAACUGGGUGACACAGCCAUGCGAAGGGCUUAGACUCCACGAGGCAGGGCUCAGUGGACGUUCAACCUCUGACCACGGCUCCGGACGACAGCAGGGUCUGUAUCCAGGACAAGAGAGCCAUGCUCACUUCCAGAAAGAAGUAGUGCUUGAUCAUUUAUAAAGACAUUUGUGUGUACUACAAAAGACACAUGAGCAACGCGCAGAAUCACUGCUCCUUGUCGUUUAAUUUACUAAUGAUCCCGAUGCUUAAUUUUCCGCCUUCUUGCCACUGCCGGCCCCCUGGCUUAUUUCUGUGGUGUUCUGGGAAUCUUGGGAUGGGGAUUCAGGUCUCAUCUGCAGGGAUCACGGGCGUUCCCCUGGUCCCCACCACUCCCUCUGGAGGUCAGGCAGGUUAGCACCCAGACAGCCUUGUGCAUGAGAUCAAGUCCAAACCAGACCAGGUUCCCUUCUCUGGAAUAAGGAGAUAAUAACACCUAUUUCUGUGACUGUUGUGAGUGUGGCUGAAAGAGCUCUUUGAAACACUCUGUAUUUUGAGGUCAUCAUAAAACAUGAGGUUUGAAACCAGGGUCUGAGUGUCCAGAGCAGGCUCCCCAUCCUGGGACAAAGCCUGAUGACAGCCUUGCUGGUUUCCCUGGAGGUAACUUGGAGAUUAAGGGGCAGGGGUGUUUUCUGCAUUUCCUGUGGGUGACGAACGGCCUCUGCGGCGGGCGACCUUUACUGCUAUUAUGGAGACGCCAGAGCCGUGGACGCCAGAGCCGUGGCUGUGACUCGGGGGCCUGUUGACAGCGCAGCAGAGGGCUGCCUCUGAGGACCUUUAGCAUGAAUGUGUUAAGAACCGCAAAAACACUGAGGUCACUGGUUUUAUUUGCUCUUAAGAAAUUACAUGGGCUUUCUAAGAGAACAAGAAACUGUUUAAAAAGCACCCCUCUUACUGAACUCAAAGAAGCCACAUUUAGCCUAAGCCAGGAGACCCUGGAUAAUACAGAGGGCAGUUCAUGUCUCCUGGAAGCCUCCCCACCCCACCGCCCCACCGCCGCCACCUGUCGACACCUGCAAAGCAGGUAGCAAGUGUCUCUACAUUUGUUUGUCAUAAAACCUUCACACACGUGUUCCCUCAAUGAACGUUGGUUAAGCUCUAGAAUGGGACAGGGCAGGACUGUGGGCAACCAGGCAGGCCCUGCAGGGCCCACAGUCUAAGUGGGAAAUGGCCCCACAAACAAGUUAGGAUGAGACAGUGGGGUGCAUGCUGCAUGGCGGUUUGGAAUGCUGUGGGGUGCACAGCAGAGGCCCCAAAAAGGGUUCUGUCACUUUCCAUGAAUGGCCAGGUGUGACAAAAUGAAGGCACUACCCAGACAGUGGUAACUGGCCCUGAGGGUAGAGGCUGGGCCACGGGGUCCUUAGACCCUGAGACUUUUCCUGCGUGCUUUGAGCUUUCAGUGUUAGAGAGCAUCUCAGGACUGGUCUGAGUAGCCAUGGGCCACUCAGAAGUAGCCUUAUGCCACCUCAGUCCCCUCUGGCCAUGGCUCACACUGGACUGAAUGAGACCCUCUCAAGGCCAUCCCUUCCUCCCUGGGGACCCCCAGGUCUCGGCCAUGUCUCCCCCUUCGUGUCCUUGAACCACCGGGAGUGCGCCCUGCUCAGCUAUCUCUCGUUCUGCUCUUUGGGGUUCCCUUCUCCUAGGACAGGCUGGCUCCCCUCCAUCUCUCACUUGUCACUAGGAGGCAGAGUGAGAGUAGCUGUGACCAUCCCCAAGGGGUUCUGUCCCCUCCCCAGUGCUGUGAGGCCGUCCUUGGGCAGGGCUGGCUGUGUGCUCAUUGGGCCACGUUGAUUCCUCCUUAUUCUUUCUUUGAGCUUUUAUUUCCUUUACUGUGUCUCACAAAGGAAGCCAUACUGGUCACUCACUCCUGCCCCAGUGUCUUUUUAAUGGGGGUUGAAAACUCCACGAGGAGGUUGCCUGGGAGUUCAUGUAUGGAGUCCGAGGAACCUACUUUAUGCCUGUGCUUGUUGUUGGGGAUGGAGGGGGGCAGAGAUAAUUCCUAGGUAUUAAAGCUCUGUGUUUCAGCCACUUCCUUGUAUGGAGAGAACCAAAGCCUGAGGAGUCAGGCAGGGCACCCAGGGCAGAAGUCCCCAACCCUGGCUA
rnacentral:lncRNA from 1 species